rnacentral:lncRNA from 1 species
ACGUGGGUAUCAUAUUCUCAUUUGAUCAUCUAUCCCAUAUACAUGAGCACAUUCAAUCUCUGACCUACCAUAUAUAACAUAUUAGCACAGGAUUUGAUAAUGGGAAAGAGAUGUAUAUUAAUUAUUAAUUCAAAACUAGAAUUGAAUCGAAUAUACCAUGACUGCAAUAUCAUGUAAAGAAAUGAUGCAUUCUGAUUUAUAUAUAAGGUUACAGACACGGGAAGAGGCAGGACAUGCAAAAUUCUGCUCUAAUUGAACUUUUUGUGAAAGAUUUCCUAUUGCAGGUCCACUAGUCUGAUUCUCUUCAUACUCUCAUAAGCUCCAUCGAUUGUAACCCCACUAUCAUUUUCAAGUUUCAACCAUUACCCUCCAAUUAAGUUCAAAUGUGUAUAAACUAUAAAAGGCGUUGAAAGAUUCUCACAUCCACAUAUUCACCCUACACCUAUCACCAUAUAUUUGGAGACUGCAUCUGAUUGUGCACCUGCUUGUAAUUUUCUUUUCUUCUGAUUUUCAUUCGUAUGUAUUCUGCACCCUGUAGUUUACCAGCUAGCUUCCAAUCUUUUUGUUUUUAUAAAUCUACGGUUCUAGAAAAAAGUUGUAGAGAGAAUGAAGAGCAACUUACCAAGUAAAUAAAGAUCCAGUAGAAAAAAAUUGAUUUAUCAAUCCCCCUCUAUUCUUUCCAAAUGUGUAUAGACUUUGAAUGAUAUGGGAAAGGAAGCAGCAACCAUUUGAUCAAGGGGAGGUUUUUUGAUUGCGUUGGAGGAACGAUUUCUGUUUACGUAAGUUGAAUAAAUAUAAACUAGUUAACGAUUUAUUUUAGGUUUAAAACACAAACAGGUAAUAAGCCGAUUUAAAUGAAAGAAAAUUUACAAAAAAUAACGACUAUAAAGAACAAUUAGAAAAAGAAUUAAAAACACAGUUUCUUAAAUUUUUUUAUUUAAAAUCAUUUUUUUAAAUAAUGUAAAACUAUAUUGCAAAAAUAAGGUGNGCAGCGAGUUGAGGUUGACGUUUGACAGAAAAUCAUCAUUAGUUCCAAUCCGGUGCCGAACUUGCUAUAGCCCAUCACACAGUAAGCAAUUUCGAUUAAAAUCAUCGUCGGGGUAGGUGGCGGGGGGAUAUUUCUGAUGGUUUCUUUGAGGACGAGCUCAUGAAGUCAAGGUGGAUAGAUGAUGAGGGUUGGUUUAGGGUACGCCAAAAUACAGUGUAUUUGAAGCCAACAUCGGGAAGGGUCAUUGAAACGUAAUAAUCAGCCGUAAGUUCUNAAGUUCUCAUGUUCUUGUUCAGCGUACGCUAGAAUAAAAUAAAUUCCAGGAGAAAUUGAGAUGAUAAGAACAUCAUCCUCGUCAUUACAGCCAGAUCGACCGAUUGAGAGGGAGGUAAAAGGUAGGAGAUGGCGAUUUCCAUCUACUAACACCUCAUAGGUUUGAAGCGUGUAGUGGAACUUAGGUUUAAUUUUAAGGUAUGAGUUAUUCCCGUUUGUAUUGAACUUAGGUUUGAAGCGUGUAGUGGAAAUAAAUAUAUGUUUCGUGUUCAUUUGAGGGACAUGGUUUUCUUUUUAACCAUUUGUAGAUAAUUUAUGUGGUUGCAAGCUCCGAUCUAUCACCCACUUGAUCCUAGACACGACUACAUAACUGUCCAGGUUUAACCACAGCGUACAACACCCAUUUACUUAUGUUUUGUUCUACUUGUAGUUACGGAUUUUGACGGUUAGGUAUACUUGUAUACUUUCGAAAAUACUUAUAUUUUAAGGUAUACUUUUAGUUCAGAGCACUUAGGCCCCUUAGUUUUUAUAGUCUUAUACCAUGUAAGGUUUGGUAUACUAGUUCACUAUAAACAAGGGCUCUGAUACCAAUCUGUCACACCCCGAAAUCUAAGGCGGAAACGUUCCGGGGCGGAGGACAUCAUGUAUAUCGCAACCAAUGUACGUAGUAAGCAUAGUAAACACAAAACAAUACAUUACAUAGAGUUAUUACAUUUGUUUGAAAUCAAAGUGUUACAAGUGUCAUACAUAUAUAUCAUAUGAACAAAAGUUAAGACGAGUCUGAUAAGCGCUCCGUCUCCAAAAGAACGCGAGUACCUGUCUAAUAUGGACCUGAGAAUACAAGCAGUUUGAAAAUCAGCAUAAAGCUGGUGAGUUCAUAAGAGGUUUGUUUUUUGAAAAUGUACAAGUUUCCUUUGUUUUUCCGAAAAGUUUGUUAUCCAAGAAAAUCCCAUAUUUUCUUAUAAGUAUAGUUGAGUUAUCCGUUUAUUAUACAAUCCGGUUAUGUACGGUUUGUUAUCUCAGGAAAAGCCCUUAUUUUCCUAAAAGUAAAGUUCAGUUAUUGAAUCCAAAUGGAAUGUACAAGUAUCUAACAUACUUGUUGUAUUAGCUAGGUAUUCUGAUGUCCUAGUUAUCCUACACUCGAAUGUAUCCAAAGGCGUGCUUUCGUAUUCGUAUUCGUAUUCGUAUUUAUAUUCGUAUUCGUAUUCAUAUUCAUAUUCGUAUUCGUAUUCGUAUUCAUAUUCAUAUUCGUAUUCGUAUUCGUAUUCAUAUUCGUAUUCCUAUUCCUAUUCCUAUUUCUAUUUGUAUUCGUAUUCGUAUUCGUAUUCGUAUUCGUAUUCGUAUUCGUAUUCGUAUUCGUAUUUGUAUUCGUAUUAUUCCUAGCUGUAAUUUCGUGAUAUUAUCUGUUCCUAACUGUACUUUCGUAUUCGCUCUGUUUCUAACUGUGUGUUACUAUCCCUUCACUCUCGUAUCUACGGGGAGUGGUAAAGUUCUAAGUUUAAUGUUAUUAGUCCUGCACUCUCGUAUCUACGGGAAGUGAUAAAGUUCUUAGUUUAAUGUUAUUAUUCCUUCACUCUCGUAUCUACGCGGAGUUAUAUCAAGAACAUUUUAAUGCUUUAAGAUUCAUGCUUUUAACAACAAUUAUAUGGAAAUUCAUUUGUGAAAUAUAAAAUAUAACAUUUUAAAAACGAGCUUCACAAAUAACAUGACGGUUUACUCUACAAGUUGAACGAUUGGUUAAUACAGUUUUCCGUGUUAAAAGCAUACGAAAUAUGAAAUAGAUCAAAUAAAAUCAUAAGUUUGAGUACAAGAUUUCCUUGUACUNCUUUUGCUUGUAUUCCCCCCCCCCCACCUGAAAACAUUGAAAAACAUUGAAAAAGGGUAGGGGUAUGAAGAGAUACAUAAAAUGUAUCUAAUUAGGCCUUGAUAUACUACUUUAAAAUGAAUAAACAUUCCGAGGUGCAAAAACACUUCAAUUCAAGUGUUUGGAGUGACCCGGGUGGCAUCUAAGGGUGUGUAGGGCCUAAUUAUGGAGUUUACUUUUCAAGAAUAAGCCCUUAAGGGAGUUUACGGUCCAAUGCUCAUAUCCCCAUGAGUUUAUGGCCGUAAACUUAUGGGUGGUGUGCGAAUGGUCUUACAAUGCACACGGGAAGGUCCUAGGGUUGAUUCCAUGGCUUAGGAAGUGAACGGGACUUGAAAUUACCUUGGAUAAGGAGUUUACGGUUUAUGAAGAUGUUCUUGGGGAGUUUACUACCUUAAACACAUGAUUUUACAACCGUAAACUCAUGUUUGUCCAUGAAUCAUGGGUUUUAGUGGUUGUAGGUUAAGCAUACAAAGUUCUAAGUCCAAUUCCAAGCCAUACAAGAUGUUAAAGGCACUUUAACACCCAUUGGAGGAGUUUAUGGUCUAAGGAGGUGUGUUUACGGUCCAAGAAUGUUCUUAAACUGUAAACUCAUGUUUGUCCCAUUUGUGUAUGUUUUGGUGCAUUUCUUGAAGGAUUAUAAGGUUAUAUGCACUCAUGGAAGCUCAUGGAAUCCUUUGGAGGUGUUUAAGGGCAAUUUAACACCUUGAAAAGGUGUUUAUGGUCCAUGAAUGAGGUUUUACGGUCCAAGAAUGUUCUUGGGCCAUAAAAUCAUGUCCAUACCUCAAUUGGUGAGAUUUUGAGGUCCUAAGCUCAUGCAUGCAAGUUUCUAAGCCAUAACUAAGCACUAGAAGUGAUUUGGAAGGGCUUUGGGGCUUCAAAACCCUCUUUAGGGGUGUUCACGGUUUUGGAAGGGUUCUUAAACCUUAAACACAUGUUCUUGAGUGUUUUGGGUGAUUCAAACAUAGAUUUGCAUGAUAAGAAAGCUUAAUAACAAGCUAGGAUAGGUUACUUACCAAAUUGAAGCUUGAAAGGGGGUUUUUGGAUCAAACUCGAGUUUUUAGAGAGAGAGUAGUGUGAGAAAUUGUUUUAAGAGAGAGAAAAAGCUUCAAAAUGAUGUCAGUCAAUCCCUUAUAUAGGGGCUGAGUUUAUGGUCCGGAGAAAUUCUACCCGAUACCGACGUUAAACGGAGCUUUUGGUCGUACCCGAUUAAUUUGCCGUAACUGAACGUGGUCGUAACUAAUAAUUUUCUAAAUAAUAAUUUGGGAUGUUUUCAUGAGUUACUAACGUGUUUGGAUACCAAUUAAGUCAUAAUAGAAGUCUCAAAAAUAAUGACUUAAUUUAAAAGCUUAAACGGAAACAAUUUGAAAAAGAUAAAUUUUAUGGACGGAAACGGGUUACGGCGAUGGAGCAAACUUCGGGUUGUCACAUUAUCCCCCCGUUAGAGGGAAUUUCGUCCCAAAAUUCAAACUUUAGAUAUGACUCAAGGAUUUGGAAAGAGAUACAGAUACUUCUGUUUCAUUGGAUCUUCACGCUCUCAAGUGAAUUUGGAUCCUUUACUUAUCGGGAUACGGCUUUGUUUCGUACGUUUAAAUCUCUAUGAUUUCGAUUGGUUCUACCAUGAGGCUCAGGCUUUCGUUGAUUUCGGUCUCAUCAAGGGAUUACUAGGGUUUCAUCGGGUAGGCACUUCUUAAGGACAGAGACGUGGAAUACCGGAUGAAUGCUGCUAAGUUCUGAGGGUAGUCGGAGUUUGUAGGCUACGGAUCGAUCCUAAUGAGAAUUUGGAAAAGUUCUAUGUACUUCGGGUUAAGUUUUACGCUUUUCAAAAUGUAUCAUGCCUUCUUCGCUUAUUACGUGACCAAAGAAAAUGGUUAGACUGAAGCGCAUCACUACAUCCUCGUAGUGACCAUAUCGAAUCCUGAAUGUUGUUUUGGAACAUCACUCUUGUGAACUCGAAGCUGACUGGGUAACUUCUGCAUCUCUGCUGGAGCCUAUCGAUGCAGAGAUUUGGCUAUAGGGUUUGCUCCGGGAAUUGGGUCGAUGCAAAAGUCUACUUGGCGUCCGAAGGGAAUUCCCGUGAGCUCUUCGGAAAAGACAUCAGGAAAAAUUUGUAGACUUCGGGGAUGCUCUCAAGGUCUUUAACUUCCUGUUUCUCGUUGAUCACAUAGGCUGGGAACUAAGUUUACCGCUAAUGCUCUCUUUCUCACCGUUAGCUAUCUCGACAGUAAACGUUUCAGUUACUAGUUGAGGACUAUGUUUAUGAAGAUGUUCGAAUGCAUAGCUAACAGAUUAUCUUUUCAGUACUAGAAUUGAAAAGGAUUGCAAGCAUAAGGGUUGUCGAAGAGGAAUAUACCUGUGGCAACGGUGGGAUUGGCGGCCGCCUCACCUUUUCCUAUAGCUAGGACUCUUACAGUGUUGCCUGUUGUUGCUGUCUUGGGGAAGUUUCUCUUAUAAUGCCCGACUUCGCUGCAACCGUAGCAGGCCUGAUACCUGCUCCGGAGACUUGAUUGGUUGAUGUUCUGCAACUUCGCGCAAGGUGACCCUCAUGGCCACAAUUUUUGUAAAAUUUCACACGACAGGGACCGGGGAUGCGGUGGUGGUAACUGCAUCGGUUACACCACGGGAAAAUACCGGCAUAUCCGGUGAUAGGUGCUUGGGUUGAGGAACCGACGACAGAAACAACAACAGGGGUAGUGGCAGCGUGGACUGCCACUAUCUGCUGUUUCUUCGAGAACUCCUGUGAAGGCUGACUUUUCUCCUUCGUCUCCUAAAAUUUUCUUUUCUCACCACUUCUCUCUUUCGGCUCAGGAGUGGUGGCUGCUUCCUCUUUGUCCUCACUAUGGUCAAUCAAGAUUUGCGCUAAGCAUUUGGCGUUGUCGUAUGUAUCCGGCUUUGCAGCUAAAACGUUCCCUUUGGUUGGAUGAGUCAACCCCUAGAUGAACCUCUCAAUCUUCUGACUCUCCGGGGUAACCAUUCCCGGACAGAGUAAUGCCAAGUCAUCGAAUCUAGAUGUGUAAGUGCCGAUAUCGGAACCCUUCAUCUUUAGGUUCCAGAGUUCAUGCUCCAGCUUCUGCAUUUCGCCCCAAGGGCAGUACUCCGCGAACAGAAGUUCCUUCAUGACUUCCCAACCCAUAGCAUUGGCUACAGGUAGGGUUAAGGAUUUGACUCGGCCGUUCCACCAAGUCAGAGAUUUAUCGGUGAACGUGCAGGCGGCGAAUUUCACCUUGUCGGAUUCUGAACAAGCACAGAUCUCGAAGAUAGAUUCGAUUUUAUCUAACCACCGAGUUAGGGCAAUGACACCUCCUGUGCCAUCGAAGAAUGUGGGUUUCGCAUUCAUAAAGUCCUUAUAGGAACACUCCUUCUGGUGUCCCUGGCUACCUUCCUGAAUUUGGGGCUGGGGACCACCUCCUUGCCCACCUAAGCCACUAAGGUUCAUUUGCGAUAGGGUAGCAGCCACGGCAGCAUUGACAGCUGCUUAAAAUAUGACGGGAUCGAAUUGAGGAGGAGGUGGUGACGGAGGAGGAUUGUUGUUCUUUGAAAUAGGUCUCUUUCUUGGAGGCAUCUUGAUCUAAAAAGAUCAGGAAAGAGAGGAUGGUAAGUCCUCUGAAUUGAAUUAAGAGAUAUGGAAUAGGGGAUAUCUCAUUAAGACAGAUAUAGAAUUCUAUUAAGCGAUAAGGCAGGAAAGAGCUAUCAAAGCAACUAAACUAUCGCUAAAGGGAUGAUUGAGGAGCAAUGAUGGAAUGAGGAUUUCUAUAACGGAUUUGGCUCGAGAAAUACUCCCAUAGUAUUUCAUGAUUCACUAUGACGACGGCUUGUUUUUUGGGUAUUAGGUAAGUUUUAGGCAUGUCGCAUACCGCAGUCACUCCCAAGCACAUGUUGGUCGUGUCUCGAAUGAAUAUAGUCGGCCAUGCUAUAUUGAUCCUAGACACGACUACAUAACUGCCCAGGUUUAACCAUAGCGUAGAACACCCAUUUACUUAUGUUUUGUUCUACUUGUAGUUAUGGAUUUCGACGGUUAGGUAUACUUGUAUACUUUCGAAAAUACUUAUAUUUUAUGGUAUACUUUAAGUUCAGAGCACUUAGGCCCUAGUGUUUAUAGUCUUAUACCAUGUAAGGUUUGGUAUACUAGUUCACUAUAAACAAGGGCUCUGAUACCAAUCUGUCACACCCCGAAACCUAAGGCGAAAACAUUCCGGGGUGGAGGACAUCAUGUAUAUCGCAACCAGUGUACAUAGUAAGCAUAGUAAACACAAAACAAUACAUUACAUAGAUUUAUUACAUUUGUUUGAAAUCAAAGUGUUACAAGUGUCAUAUAUAUAUAUCAUAUGAACAAAAGCAAAGACGAGUCUUCCAAANAUAUAUAUAUAUAUAUAUAUAUAGAUAUCAUAUGAACAAAAGUUAAGACGAGUCUGAUAAGCGCUCCGUCUUCUCCAAAAGAUCGCGGGUACCUGUCUAAUAUGGACCUGAUGAGUUCAUAAGAGGUUUGUUUUCUGAAAAUGUACAUGUUUCCUUUGUUUUUUAGAAAAGUUUGUUAUCCAAGAAGAUUCCAUAUUUUCUUAUAAGUAUAGUUGAGUUAUCCGUUUAUUAUACGAUCCGGUUAUGUACAGUUUGUUAUCCCAGGAAAAACCCUUAUUUUCCUAAAAGUAAAGUUCAGUUAUUGAAUCCAAAUGUAAUUUAUAAGUAUCUAACAUACUUGUUGUAUUAGCUAGGUAUUCUGAUGUCCUAGUUAUCCUACACUCGAAUGUAUCCAAAGGCAUGCUUUCGUAUUCGUAUUCCUAUUCCUAAUCGUAUUCUUAUUCGUAUUCGUAUUCGUAUUCGUAUUCGUAUUCGUAUCCGUAUUCGUAUAAGUAUUCGUAUUCGUAUUCCUAUUCCUAUUCGUAUUUCUAUUCGUAUUCGUAUUCGUAUUAUUCCUAGCUGUAAUUUUGUGAUAUUAUCUGUUCCUAACUGUACUUUCGUAUUCACUCUGUUUCUAACUGUGUGUUACUAUCCCUUCACUCUCGUAUCUACGGGGAGUGGUAAAGUUCUAAGUUUAAUGUUAUUAGUCCUGCACUCUCGUAUCUACGGGAAGUGAUAAAGUUCUUAGUUUAAUGUUAUUAUUCCUUCACUCUCGUAUCUACGCGGAGUUAUAUCAAGAACAUUUUAAUGCUUUAAGAUUCAUGCUUUUAACAACAAUUAUAUGGAAAUUCAUUUGUGAAAUAUAAAAUAUAACAUUUUAAAAACGAGCUUCACAAAUAACAUGACGGUUUACUCUGCAAGUUGAACGAUUGGUUAAUAUAGUUUUCCGUGUUAAAAGCAUACGAAAUAUGAAAUAGAUCAAAUAAAAUCAUAAGUUUGAGUACAAGAUUUCCUUUUACUUUUGCUUGUAUUCCCCCCCCCCUCCCUGAAAACAUUGAAAAACAUUGAAAAGGGUAGAGGUAUGAACUCACCGGACGAGGAAUGUGUCGGCUAGGAUGCUAAAUGUCAGUUCGGGGCCGACUUGCAAAAGCACAAGAUUCCUAUGUAAUAUGAAGAGAUACAUAAAAUGUAUCUAAUUAGGCCUUGAUAUACUACUUUAAAAUGAAAAAACAUUCUGAGGUGCGAAAACACUUCAAUUCAAGUGUUUGGAGUGACCCGGGUGGCAUCUAAGGGUGUGUAGGGCCUAAUUAUGGAGUUUAGUCUUCAAGAAUAAGCCCUUAAGGGAGUUUACGGUCCAAUGAUCAUAUCCCCACGAUUUUACGGCCGUAAACUCAUGGGUGGUGUGUUCUUGGAUGCCAAAUGGUCUUACAAUGCACAUGGGAAGGUCCUAGGGUUGAUUCCAUGGCUUAGGAAGUGAACGGGACUUGAAAUGACCUUCGAUAAGGAGUUUACGGUUUAAGAAGAUGUUCUUGGGGAGUUUACUACCUUAAACACAUAAGUUUACAACCAUAAACUCAUGUUUGUCCAUGAAUCAUGGGUUUUAGUGGUUGUAGGUUAAGCAUACAAAGUUCUAAGUCCAAUUCCAAGCCAUACAAGGUGUUAAAGGCACUUUAACACCCAUUGGAGGAGUUUAUGGUCUAAGGAGGUGUUUUUACGGUCCAAGAAUGUUCUUGGACCGUAAACUCAAGUUUGCCCCAUUUGUGUAUGUUUUGGUGCAUUUCUUGAAGGAUUAUAAGGUUCUAUGCACUCAUGGAAGCUCAUGGAAGCCUUUGGAGGUGUUUAAGGACAAUUUAACACCUUAAAAAGGUGUUUAUGGUCCAUGAAUGAGGGUUUACAGUCCAAGAAUGUUCUUGGUCCGUAAAGUCAUGUCCAUACCUCAAUUGGUGAGAUUUUGGGGUCCUAAGCUCAUGCAUGCAAGUUUCUAAGCCAUAACUAAGCACUAGAAGUGAUUUGGAAGGGUUUUGGGGCUUCAAAACCCUCUUUAGGGGUGUUCAUGGUUUUGGAAGGGUUCUUAAACCUUAAACACGUGCUCUUGCGUGUUUUGGGUGAUUUAAACAUAGAUUUGCAUGAUAAGAAAGCUUAAUAACAAGCUAGGAUAGGUUACUUACCAAAUUGAAGCUUGAAAGGGGGUUUUUGGAUCAAACUCGAGUUUUUAGAGAGAGAGUAGUGAGAGAAAGUGUUUUAAGAGAGAGAAAAAGCUUCAAAAUGAUGUCACUCAAUCCCUUAUAUAGGGGUUGAGUUUAUGGCCCGGAGAAAUUCUACGCGAUACUGACGUUAAACGGAGCAUUUGGUCGUACCCGAUUAAUUUCCCGUAACUGAACGUGGUCGUAACUAAUAAUUUUCUAAAUAAUAAUUUGGGAUGUUUUGAUGAGUUUCUAACGUGUUUGGAUACCAAUUAAGUCAUAAUAGAAGUCUAAAAAAUAAUGACUUAAUUUAAAAACUUAAACGGAAAUAAUUCGAAAAAGAUAAAUUUUAUGGACAGAAACGGGUUACGGCGAUGGAGCAAACUUCAGGUUGUCACAGUAGGUGCACGACAUGUUGCGAGUCCCCUAAAUCCAAUAGGAGAGUUACGCAGAUCGGAGACGUUCGGACCUCGUGUUUCAGGAGGUGGAUUUGGUGCUUUUAAAGAUGUCACCUUAGAAAGGUGUCAUCCAAUUUUAAAAGUCGGGAAGCUGGCAGCAAAUUUAUUGGUCCCUUCUGGAUUUCUUCCCUGGUAAGAAAUGUUGCAUUUUUGUCUGGAUUUUCCUGAUGAGCUCAGUCGGAUCUACAAAACCUUCCAUGUGUCUCAGCUUCGAAAGUGUGUCGCCGAUUAGCUCAAAGUUGUUCCUUUGGAUUACAUUCAGGUUGAUGAUCGUCUGAAUUAUGUGAAGCGAUCGGUGACAAUCUAGGAUUUGAAGACGAACCCUUUUUGCAACAAAGGAGUAUCACUACAUAAGGUCCAGUGGCAUCAUCAGAAGGAUUUCGAAUGGAAGUGGGAGCCUGAGGCGGCGAUGCAAGAGCACUACCCUAAUUUAUUUGCAACAACAGACUUUGAGGACGAAGUCCAAUUCAAGUGGGGGAGAGUUGGAACAUCUUGACUUCCAAGUAUUUUAAAAUUUUACACUUGAUUUGAGUUUGGUUUUAAAACUUAGUCCCAAGCGGUCUUUUCGUAAUUUUUGCGUAGGACUCUCGUACGUUGGGCGUACGUGGCGAGGGUGCAAACCCUAAAUUUUAAGGUUUGGACCCUAUUUAAGCAUCAUUAUAUCCCCACACCUUCAUUUAUCUUAAGCCUCCAUCCCUAUCUCGAAACCGUAAAGUAAGUGAGUGAGUUUUGAAGCGAGAUGAGCCUUUUCAGUGCCAUUCUAGUGCUCUUAGUGGUGAAGGAGGAACCUAGAAGUUGUGGUGUUUCACUCAAGGCUUUGGAUCCUACAACUACUUUGUCUUGUACAUCUUUUGGAGGUAUAAAGCUACCACUUGAUGAAUAUUUCAUUAAGAUGUAUUUUAGUUUAAAGUUAGCACCUUUUUGUACCAAAUCUUGAUUCUUAUGAGUAUGGAGUACUCCAGGAUGUUUGAGUUGUCAUUUCAGAUGUUAUAGGGUGUGUUAAGUCAUAAAAAUAUGAUCUUGGACAUUAGUUCCUUCACAUGCAUGAUCUAGAUUGUCUUAAUGGGUCAAGAGACUAGGGUCUUUGGUAAUACGGUCUUAUUAGCUAUGAAAAACUAUAAUGUUGGAAACUUUAUGGUUCUGAACACUUGUUAGGGUCUUGAUCUACUUUUUGGACGUAAGUUGGGCAUAGAAACGGGUAGACUGCAAGUUCGCGGUAAGCCCUUUGACAUUUGGUCAAGCAAGUUGUAUUACACAUUUCUAGAAUAUUAAGUUAUUCAAAAUUCUCGGUCGUACUUUUGGAAGUAAGUAGUGAUUUAAGAUUAUAACAGAGCAUUGGUAGAUUGUCCAUGGUGAUGCAUAAAGAAAAUUUUGGAACUGAUGCUCAUGAGUACUUUAAAUGGAGAUUUUUAGGUAUUAGAGUAACCCACACUUAGAGAUUACCUCAUAGAUUAUAUUACAAGUAAUUCUAAGAUGGUAAUAUCAUAUAUACGUCAAAUGGAGCUGCUUGGGAUUCUCUCCUACAAUCUUUUUUGUUUUGGUUUCCCCUAAACAUUGUUCGUAAAUGGAAAUCAUAAUGGGUUUGACUAGAUAUGACAUGAGCAAUAAGCAGAAUCUUUGUAGUCGAAGUUUGUUUGUUCGUUUUUCCCCUAAAAAAUAAAAAUAGAUAUCAUUGUUCCUCUCGAUGAUUUGGUGUUGACAUUAAAAAACAUGGUCGUGCUCAGACUGAAUCGACGGAUCAAUUAUGCAGUUUUCUUUUGAUUGAUAGAAGUUAGUAUCGGGAAACAAAAUCUUGAACAUUUGAGAUUGAAUAUAUCAAUGUCUCAUUUUCAUAUACAUAUCUCGAAGAAUAAAGGAACAUUUGAUUACUUAUCUAAGGGAUAUAUCACAAUCAUGUGUUUGUUUUGAGUAUGGAAAAUAUAUUUGACUAGAUCCUCUCUACUCAUUACUACUAUAUAUUAGACCAUAUAGUCUUGGUGAUUUGUGCAAGUUGAGGUCUUAGAAAAUGGUGCCUAGAGUUACAACACAGUGACAACAAUUAGUACAAGUGGAUUGAUAUGUAAGUUAUUAGUACAUAAUGUUAUAAGAUGCAAGUUUGGGUAUACACAUAACCAUUAUUACCCUUUGAGGGAUGACUCACCUGAUAAUAAAAAGAAAAUAUAAAAAGACAAGUUUAGUUUUAUGUAAAACCCAUUAAAAAGUUGUUAUAAACAUGUAGUAGUGGUAAUAUAUCUUAAAAACUAUGUAUAAAAUGAAUAUAUAAAAAAGAAAUUGAAUUAGUAAAAAAAAAUCUAUUUCUUAAAUAAAUUUCUAAAAAAAACCAGUUUCUUAAAAAUGUAAGAACAAACUUGUAGAAACAAGUUGUGGCAAAUUUGUAAACAAAGUUACGGCCAAAGUAAUAUUGAAAAUAAAAACAUUGGCAAUCUUGUAAAGAAAUGGCAACCUCUAAACUUACAAACCUGCAAUAACGAGUCAUUGUGACAAAGAAGAAAUAAAACAUGGCUUUUCUUACUUCUACAAAUAAUAAAAUGUUAACAUGUAACUUAUAUGUAUUUAAAAUAUUUGGUAACCCAUUUAGUUUUGGUAUUAGCCAUUUAUUAUGUUUUGCAAGCAUAUGAUUGCAAACAUCGUACACGCAUAUAGAGGCUCACACGCACACAGUCACAUUCAAAUCGGGAUGGGGGAACAACAAGAAAUAAUGAUAACUGGAUUCUACAACAAACGAAAACCUUCAAAAUCCUUAAUUCAUAGCUAUCAUUUGUAGUUUAAAACUCAUGGAUUUUAGUAAUUGCUGCUCCAGAAAUGCAUUUACAAAAUUUCAUUAAAGCCAAUCACCUACUAAGAAACACGUGCGUGAAGCAUAAAUCAUUGAGAAAGAUUGCUAACCAACUGCAACUGCAUAUGCUAAUGUACAUAAAAGAUCACAUGAUGAAACGUUUACCAGCAAUAGCAAUGUGUGAGACUCUACUAUUUUGGUGUCAAGUAGCCCUUGGAGUUCCCCCAAACACUUCAGUAGGAAAUCAUUAAUAAAGCAUCCCAAUGAAGUGUUCGGAGGAUCUUUGAGGGACACUUGGCUUUUACUUCAUCCGUAUUUGCUUGAAGUUGAUUGCUUUGUUUCGAAAAUAAACAUUCCAGAAUUACUUGGUAUAUAUAGAGAGAGAGGGAGUAGAGGUUAUUUUCUAAUCGAUGAACAUGGAUACAUUAGCAGCAUGAACAUGGUUGCCAUCGUGUCUGUAUUAGGAGAUAUAUUUUCCCAUAAUCCCAAUUUUCACAUAAAGGGAAAUAUAUGAGAGUGACGAGUUAUGCUGAGGACCAGGUGAACAUGGGUAUCAUAUUCUCAUUUGAUCAUCUAUCCCAUAUACAUGACCACAUUCAAUCUCUGACCUACAAUAUAUAACAUAUUAGCAUAAGAUUUGAUAAUGGGAAAGAGAUGUAUAUUGAUUAUUCAUUCAAAACUAGAAUUGAAUCGAAUAUACCAUGACUGCAAUAUCAUGUAAAGAAAUGAUGCAUGCUGAUUUAUAUAUAAGGUUACAGACACGGCAAGAGGCAGGACAUGCAAAAUUCUGCUCUAAUUGAACUUUUUGUGAAAGAUUUCCUAUUGCAGGUCCACUAGUCUGAUUCUCUUCUUACUCUCAUAAGCUCCCUCGAUUGUAACCCCACUAUCUGUUUCAAGUUUCAACCAUUACCCUCCAAUUAUGUUCAAAUGUGUAUAAACUAUAAAAGGCGUUGAAAGAUUCUCACAUCCACAUAUUCACCCUACACCUAUCACCAUAUAUUUGGAAGACUGCAUCUGAUUGUGCACCUGCCUUUUCUUCUGAUUUUUAUUCGUGUGUAUUCUGCACCCUGUAAUUUACCAGCUAGCUUCCAAUCUUUUUGUGUUUAUAAAUCUGCGGUUCUAGAAAAAAGUUGUAGAGAGAAUGAAGAGCAACUUACCAAGUAA